CCGUAUUUUUUUUCUCACAGUUAAAUGUGUGUAUUUAUUCUCAACUUAAAGCAAAUAGGACCAGUUUAUAUUUCUGUUUCAUCUUAUAUUAUGUAGUUCCGAACUUUACAUGAAGAAAAGGAUUAAGUCGUGACAUAUGGGAUGUUCCAAUUUAUCCGGAAAACCUUCUCAUAAUUAAGUAUUGCUUGCAAAAGGGAAAACUGAUAAAAAUUGCUUAAAAAAUGCUACAAAACUUUGUCUAUAAGCUUAAAAUUUAUGGACAGUUCUGCAGUGUAUUUGGCAUAAGAAAAAGAGAUAGUUAUCAAGCAUUUAAUAUAGAGAAUACGGCUAAUCAGGCAAGGUAACCAUACUGUUGCAUACUCUCUUGGCUGGAAAGGAUUGAAAAUAUUAAUAGAACUAUUACAAUUACGAGCACUCAUUUCAAAUUUUUGGUCAGUAUAGACAAUACGGCCCGCAUGAUAUCUUUGGGUUGUGGUAGGUUUUCUUGGCGAAUUCUUUAGCUUAACUAUUGUGUGCUCGUUAUAAUUUUCAAGAGCAACUGUAUCACGUAUUCCAUAUGCCGUUCUGAGCCCUCUUUUCUGUUUGACUAUUUACUUCUAACUAAUUGAUAUAUUUGAUUUGUAUCUUCUACUAGGAAAUGCAGUUCUGUAGUUUUUGCAUUUAAGACCCAGCAUAUCACUUACAUGUGCAGUUAUGUCAUCCCGAUUCCCCAUUUUCUUUGCUUAAUAUAUAUGUUCAGAUCAUGCUCCGGUCUGUGUUACAAAAAUAUGUUUGACUGUUACAUGCUAGAUCAAUAUGGUCUGGCCGUAGCGAGGUAUCAUAGUUGUUUUAUCUCCCUUUCUCGAUCCUCCAUUUCUGGAUGCACCAUUUUGAAGUGCCCCGAGAUAUUGUGAUGCCUUCACAAUCUAAGAAUGAUAUUUUUUUUUGUAGUUAAAGCGGAAACACAGCAGAGUAGAUAAUGAGUUUGCCAUACUUGAUAAGGAAGAGAAUAUAUGAAGCUAGGCCAAAGUUAGGGACCGACACUGCUGCUAGCUCGUGUGGAACGGGCAACAAACCAAACCAGAAGUUGGUCUGAUGUAUCUACAAAUGGUGUAUGUGUAUAAGGUCAUGUUCUGUACAGCCAUAUCUUCAUGAGGGGCUCGGCUGCAGGGGCUAGGUGAGAGCUCAUCAGUAUAUGUUAGUAAUGCUCACUACCUCGGCGUCCACUGGUACUUGGUGUGA